rnacentral:rRNA from 1 species
AUGGCGCUGAUACUUGGGGUUCUCAAAGACCAGAAACGUCCCCUUGGGAUGCAUCAGAGUACAGUCAACUCCUUUCUGCAGGGCCGUUGCUGCCACUACUAUAACAGUUCUUAUGACCAAAACACACUCAGGGGGCCUCCGUGGCAAAUUCAGUCACAUGGCGCUAACACUGACAAAUGUACGGGCAGCCAACUUCAACUAGCUAAUAUGGCUAAUCAAGAGCCUUCAUGCAGCACGUGGCAUCAGGCAGCACCCAUGUACCUGCCAUCGACGUCAUACACAGGUUAUUACGGUGGUGGUACCCCGGCAAACAUCUCGUGGCAAGCUUCACAGAUUACAGAUAGAGCACAUCAAUUUGGUGUGAUAGACCACACAAGAUGGGCACAUGCAGCACACCAAGGGCCUACAACUACAGUGAACAGCGGCACGGGGACAUCUACUGCGGGGAGCUCUGAGCGCACGGAAGACGCGUUCCACCAGCCAACAGACAUUCAUGCCGCAAACAAUGCCGAGUCAGAGUCGGAAAUGGCAAUCAUUCCAGCAAUGCCGACAGGCACCCCUUUGAACACAAGCACUGGCAACACUCAAGUAGAUGAACCUGCCGCCGAUACUGAAGUGAAUGAUGAAACUGAUGAUGAAGCACAAGGGGAUGAAGAUGAUGGGCAAUCAGAGAUCGUGGUACCUCAGCCACCGUACGUUGGGCAGAGAUUUGAAUCGUUUGCAGAAGCAAAGGAAUUCUACCAGACAUAUGCAAAGUUCCAUGGGUUUGCGGUCAACACCGAAUACCAUAGGAAAAUUAAGAAAACUAAUGAGUACAGCAGAGGUGAGAUGAGGUGCCACAAGGCACGUAGGAACAAGAAAGGGAAAGGUAUUGCGCCUGUCGUUCCGGAACGAAAGAGAGAUAUCAUUCUCAAGACAGGAUGCCCUGUCUGGUGUAAGCUAAACGUAGAUGGGACACAGUAUGUGGUCACUGAAUAUUUUGACGAGCACAACCACAAACUCAUAAAGAAGUUUGACCUGGUAAAAUUUCUGACCGCCCACAAAGGAUUCACCCCACUCAAAAGGAAAUUAAUAAAGAUGCUACAUGAUUGUAACGUUGGUCCAUCAAGAAUGCUCCAGAUACUAUCACUCAUCCAUAGCAAAAAGGGGACUCUGAGUAGCAUGCUCUACAUACCAGCUGACGUCACAAACCUAAAGGCAAAGUACCAUAGAGAGAGCAAGUUGGCUGACAUAGACGCCACGAUGGCCUACUUCGAUGAGAAAGCGAAGGAAGAUCCAGAUUUCUUCUACAGGAUAAGGUUGGACGAUGAGGACCGUGUCAGGAACAUGUAUUGGUGGAUGGUGCUGCAAGGAGAGCCUACAAACAUUUCCGAGAUUGCAUUUUAUUCGACGCGACGUAUCUCACUAUCGUUGCAGUUCGGUUGUGGGCUCGUUCGGAACGAAGACACGGAUGGGUACGUUUGGCUGUUCAAGACCUUCUUGGAGUGCAUGGAUGGACUUGCUCCGAUGAACAUAAUAACAGACCAGGAUUUUAGCAUGCAUGCAGGCAUAGAGAAGGUCUUUCCGUUGGCAGUGCAUAGGCACUGCAAGUGGCACAUUAUAAAGAAGGCUGAGGAGACUCUAGGACCGUUCUUUGCUGACCGUCCAGAGCCGCACAAGGCAUUCGAGAUAAACAUAUCAAGUCCAGACAAGGAGACUCUUGCUAGCCUGUGGGAGAAGCAAAUGUACUGGGUGCCGGCCUACUUCAUGCAGUGCUUCUUCCCAUUUCUACAAACUACGCAGUGCAGCGAGGGGUUCAAUGCUGUUUUGAAGCGGCACGUGAGACCUGGCAACUCAUUGCUACAGUUUGCCAAGCAGUACACAGCUUUGCAAGAAAAAAUACUGGGAGCUGAGCUACAGCAAGAACCGAACACCGCGCUAAAGCAACCAAAAUUGCUAACGUAUUUACCGAUGGAGAGGCAAAUGAGCAAGAUAUAUACCAACAAGAUCUUUAACAAAUUCCAGGAAGAAAUAAAGCGUGCCAACAUGUUCACGGCUUUCCAGGUGGACGAACAUACAAUCAAGGUGUGUUCUAUUUUGGGCAUGUCAGAUUCAGAACCUGAAGACCCGGACAAAGGAAGGAACUACUUCGUGAAAGCCUCAAUAGGCCAAGGUGAAUACUACUACCAAUGCUGCAAGUUUGAACGGGACGGCAUUGUGUGCUGUCACAUACUAAAAGUAAUGGACAUGAACGCUGUGACACGGAUGCCCCGUCAUUUCAUAAGGCGGCAAUGGACUUGGGACGCUGACAACGCGUUGGCGCCGCAGACAACAAACUCAGUUCUGGCUGUGCAUGAUGAGAUACCUGAGUCAACCAUCGAAGCCGUGAGGCACGUUUUGCUGACAAAGAACUAUGCUGAGCUAAUUGAUGAAGCGUGCAAGAAUGAUGAGACAACAAGAGUCGUAGAAAAACACAUGAAGGCCCUGAAAAGAGAGCUUGAUGAGAUCAAGAAGAGGAAAACUGAGGAAGCCUUACACCGGUUCCCCCGCACAUCAAGUGUGCCUUUGUCCACGGGGCCAUCAUCUAAAAACUCAGAGAUAGGAUCUGGAACAGCAAGCACACAAACCCAGGUCAGGAACCCGCCCCGUUCCAUCACAAAGGGUCGUCCAAAAGAGAUAAGGUACAAAUCGGGAUUGGAGAUUCAAGCAAAACACAAGAAACCAAAGAAAGGGACGGGUAAUCCGUAA